rnacentral:rRNA from 1 species
GCGUGCGAUCAUACCAGCACUAAUGCACCGGAUCCCAUCAAAACUCCGAAGUUAAACGUGCUUGGGCGAGAGUAGUACUAAGAUGGGUGACCUCUUGGGAAGUCCUCGUGUUGCACCCC